GUAUGUGAGGGUUAGGGUUUUCAUCAUCAUCAAAGAGUGAGAAAGAGUUGAAGAUGUUUCAUUUGAGGGGAAUGUUGGCUGGCUCGAGGCUUUUCAGUUUCACAAAACAAGUUCAAUCUUAAUUGUAUGAACUAUAAGGCUUCGGACCAGGCUUCAUUCCCCUCAAAAUCUUACUAUUUCAUCUUCUUCAUCUUCUGUUUCUUCCUAUAUGCAAGAGUUAGGUUGAGAGGAACGUUGUCUGGCUCGAGGUCACCGAGAUCGAUGAGUACUUAUAGUAACUCUCAACUCAAUCUCGGACCAGGCUUCAUUCCCCCUAGCCAACUUUUGCUACCUUCAAUUCCUCCAUCAUCUUCUGUUAGUAAGGUUUUGGCCCCUACCCUCUCCCUCAAAUGCAGCAGGAAUGUUUGUUUCACGUGGGGAAGGCAAGAAAGCAUCAACAGUGUCAAAACCUAUCACAAGUGAAAUUCCUUCUCAUCAUCUGCAAACCCAUAAACCUAGCUAUGUCUUUCAAAUAACACUAUGAGUUAUAACUAUAACAGUAUCAUCACCCUUCUUCAAUUGUCAUUUCACAGUUUAAUAAUGGUUUUAUAUUUGUUAUGUAGUGAAGUAGUUAUGGUUAUGGUUAUGGUUAUGGUUAUGGUUAUGGCAGUGAUGAAUAAUGAUCAAUUAUUGAUUGAAGUUAGUAGGUGAGUGAGAUGAGAUGUGCUGGAACAGUUAACGAGAAGAAGUGAGAAUCAGGAGAAGCUAAACUAGCUAGCUUAUCUUAGCUAGGUAUCUGUGUACUGUGAUCACCAUUUCACCAUUAUAUAUCUUGUUAAUUUCCAAGAAAGCAGAAGAAAAAGCAGAUAUGUAUGAGCAAGCAAGUUCCAUUGUGAUGCAAUGAAGAGUACUUCAGAUA